rnacentral:tRNA from 1 species
GCCGGGUUGGUGGAACAGGCAGACACUGCGCACUCAAAAUGCGUUGCCCUCACGGGCGUGCGGGUUCGAGUCCCGCACCCGGCA